CUCAGACUGAGCCAGAACUCCAGAUUAGUUUCAGAGCUCUCCUGAUCUCCUGGAAGUGCUUAUGACCACAAGAUGAGUCUCUGGGUCAGGACAGAUGAGGAGGUCAGGAAGCCCUCCCCCGCAGACCUCCCACCCGCUCCAGAUGGAGUUAAUAAUUGCCCCCGCCCAGCAACCUUUGCUGCUCUCACUUGCUCCUCUUGCUGCAGUCAUUACACAGCUCACUUUGUUUACAGGAUCAUCUUUCCUCCAUGCUCUGGGCUCCUUGAGAGCAGGGCUCUGUUUUAUUCUCAGUGUCCCUGGGCGUCUUCAGCAUCUAGUACUUUCCUAGCACCUAGCUGAGGAGGGACUCAAUUGAGUGGGAGUGAAGAGACGCCACAGCCAACCCCAGAUCCCUGCUGGUCUUCACAGAGGCAGCGUAUUUUCCUGUGGGUUGUCAAGACUCUCCUCCAGCUCUAUGAGGUAGAUGUUCUUGUAUUACUAUUCGAUAGAUGAAAGAAGGGAGGCUGAGUGAUUAAAUGACCAAGGGUGCGUAGUUAGUAAGUGUAUACUUCUGGACUUGAAUUCCAUUUUUUCUUGCCAGCAAGUAUUGGGCUCUGUCUUGUAGAGUUUCAGACCUAAGCUUAGAAAAAGGAACAAGCCCUGAAGAAGAGUUUGAUGGGACCCACAAAACUCUCUGAUUACAUUUAUCUCACCUGCCAUUUGCCGUGAAUUCAGAAAUUCUCCUUUAGAAUUUCAUUGUUGGUUAAAGCAUGAUCUUCAGAGGAUCCCUUUUAAAUUUCACAUGUUUUCUGAUAGCAAUUACUUGAUGACAGAGCUUACAUGAUGUGGAUCAGUUACUUUUUCAAUAAUAGUAAUAAACACCUGAUUUGUGCUUUUCUAAGUGCUUUAUAUAUUUUAUUUUAACUAGUCCUCACAAUAACCUAACAAGACAGAUACUAUUGUGUCCUCAUUUUAUAGAUGAGGAAACUGAGGGAAAUGUAGAUUAAGUAACUUUACAAAGAUAACACAGAUAUUAAGUGGCAGAGCCAGUGUCCCAAUCCAAUAGCCACCUAAUAUCAUCAAAUAUUCAUUAAGUGUCUGCUCUAUGCCUCACACUGCCAUGUGCCGGGAGAUGGAGUGAUGCAGGAGGCAGAUGAUUUCUGUCUUCAGAGAGCUUUUAUUCUAGAAGUGGAUGACAGGCUGUAAACCUACAAAUAAAUAUUAUAUAUCAGACAAUGAUAAAAGCAGUGAAGAAAAUAGCUCGGGUAAUGUAAUACAGUCUGACCAGGUCAGGGAGGAGUGAGGCUGCUGUAGAUAAUAUGGCAAAGGAGGAGGUGACAGUUGAAGUGAGACUUGAAUGAGAAGGCACCGCCUGUCAACAGUUCUAAGGCUAGGGAACGGGGAAGAGCUUGUCCCUUGUGACUGGAGCUUGGGAAAGAGUUGAGCAAGGGACAGAGAGAGGGGCGAGGCCAUGCUUUGUCUGUAAUGGUAAGAGUCUGAGUUCAUUCUAAGUGCGGGAGGGGGAGUUUUGCACAUGGGAGUCAGGUGAUCUGUGUUUUAUGAGCGUCGCUCUGCUUUGUAAGGUGCUCUGCAGUUGGGAUGGUUGUAGGAGUCGGGAGACCAGGCACGAGGCCGUAGCACAGUGCUGGCCAGAGGUGGUGGUCACUGGAACUAGGGUGGUUCUAGAAUGGACAUAUGCAGAGAAGGGAGUAGGGUGGGAAAUACUUUGGAGGGUGAGCCUACAACUCUUAUUGAUGGAUUGGAUGUGGAAAAUGGAAAAGGAAGGAAACUAGGAGGACCCCUACAUUUUUUACUUUAGUCACUCUUUGAAUGUUUGUAUCAUUUUACUGAGGUGAGGAAGGAAGCUAUCUUGAGAAAUGAGAUGGAAUUCAAGAGUUUUUGUUUGAAAUAUGAUUUUGAGUUCCUUUUAAAUACCCAUCUAGAGCAUUAGGGAGGCAAUUGUAUAUGGAGCCAGGAGCUCAGGGGUUGUUUGUGUUAAAUGGAAGCUUCUAGACAGAGAGAUUUGAUCCAUCACAAUAGAACUUUUGUGAUUUCAGCCUUUCUGCUCCAGAGGAGAGUCCACUUUUUCAGAAGUAUGCCUUGCUGCUGAAAGUUUCUAUUUUUAUUGGAAUAAGUAGACUAUAAUUCCCACCACUGCCUCAGGGUGGCAGUAAUGUUAAUCAGGAAGAACACAGAGGAAACAAGGACGUGCAAUGGGAGAUAAGCAUUGCAGAUGUGUGCACACACGCCAUAAACAAAUUUACUCACAUCGUUCCUGGGAAAAUUAGCUGUGAACGGCUAAGAGAGCAGGAAACAUGUCCUAUUCACAUCAUCAGGCAAAAUGCCUGCCCCUACCCGAGGCCUCAAAAUUGGGUCCACCAUGUUUGACUGAGUUGAUCGGAGAUGUAGAGAAUAUUUACCAUAUUCUGGGAGCCACGCAAGGUAUUGCAAGCCAAGGAUGAGCCCUGGUCUGAUGGAAUUUACAGUCAAGUGGAGAAGACAAACCAUGUAGCUAUUAUGGGGACCUGUUGUGCUUUAGGCAUCACUGGGGCUCAGAAUGUGAUGGAACACUUAAAAUAAUGUUAAUAUGUUUUAAAUCAAUGAUUUUGUUCAUUUAUUUACUCUUGAAUGAGGAUGUGAUGAUAUCGCAGGACCCUAGGACAUCACUGGACCAAUCUUCAUUGACAGCCUAUCAUGUACAAAUAUCACACUGGAAAGUAGAAUAUAAUGCUGAUGAUACUGAACUUGAUUUCUGCUCUCACGUGGAUUACGUUCUUGCAGAAAGUUAGCAAUUAAGCUUCUAAACAGAUACUUAUUUACAAACAUAAAUAAAUAAUAAAAAUACUUAUGUUAUAAUAAUCCUGUGAGCUAGGUCCUGCUUACGGUCCCGGGUCUGACACUUAAGAUGCCCCCUUCACCACAUGGUUCUGAGGCUUUUGCCGCAUCAUCUUCUCUCUUGUCAGCAUUCCUGCAGGAGUCCAACAACACUUGCAUGGCUGCUGUUUCUGUGGUUAUGUUGAUAUCUACAUCAGCAAUGGCAGCUCUGCGUUCUUACCCUUUAAGCAAGAAUUUCUGAGACCUCCAGACGGGUGAUCACACGGCUGCCACAGCAACCCUAAUUUGGGUCUAUCAAUUAUUUUCCUUGCUGUGCCAGCUGUUAGGUUGCAGAAAAGGAGACACUCAUAAAAUUUAUGGACUUCACACUCACGCAGCACAUUUCUAUUGAGGAAUUCAAGGUACUCUGGAUUUUUUAUUGCCUUUAAUUUAAAAUAACUCUGAGAUUUAAGGUGGAACCGGUAGUUUUCUUGCCUACUCAAUGGAGAAGCCGAGCACAGGGUGCCUUACUUCAUGCUACAGCUCUUCCUGAAAAAUGGCACCUAAACUGGGUGCUUGCAGAUCUAUAAGGGGACAGUGCUCAUAAGGUAAAAAAAAAUCCUAUGGUGACAAUGCCUAUAAAACAUACUAUCCCUCCACUUAUUUUUUUAAUUAAAAAUUCAGUUUUAUGUAUGUUUGCCCUAAGGAAAUAUGAUCUGCCUAAAUUAUGUUUCUUUUACUAAAAUUGUUAGUAGAAGCUUCAGUCCAGGUCUCUUUGUCCUCGAUUUUCUUGAAAUAUCAGCGGCAAAUGAACUUCCACUGGUCUCAAAGACUUUUCAGAAUCUGGGCAUCACCUACACUUCCCAUCUUAUUUUUCUGCUAUUGAGUAUUUUUCUUUAGCCAAAAAGUAUAUUCAUUAUUGGUUCCACAGGCACUAGUUCAGGGGUUGGCAGAGGGUGCUGGGAGCUGUGGGCCAAGUGCCGCCCUUGCCCUGCACCAGUGGCAUGAAGUUGAGCAGGAAUAGCAGGAAUGUUGCUCUUCUGGCGCUGGAAUUGCUCAGCCCCUCAGAGCCCCAGUGCCUGCGGUGGCCCUGGGUGAAGCAUCUGCCCCUUCACACCCUUGGGAGUCUGGUUGGGUUCAACCCCAUCCAGAAUCUGCCCUUUUCUAGAUAAUCUCUUCUCCUUGGUCUUCGGAUCUUGCUCCUUCUUAGCAUGCAAAGCUGUUUGUGAAUUGCCCUGAUAAUCUUUCUCAAUUUCCUGCCUCAAAAUUCAUCCUCCACCAACAUACGGCUUCUUAUUUAUACAUUUUUCUUGUCUAUGGAAGUUUGCUCAUAAUGUGCUUCUGGCUGGAAUGUUUUAGCCAAAAAAAAUUCAUGUCUUUGAAGACCCAAGUCAGAUGUCAAUUCUUCCAGAAACACUUCCCCAGUCCACAGGCAAAGUAAAUUUUCUUCCUUUAUUCUUCCAUAGUAAAGUGAAUUGUAAUUUCCUGUUUGUAUACAUAUUUCUACUGAGAUUCUUCAUCUGCUCCAUUCCAUGACCUCACUUACUAGCUUGUAAAGUUCCUGAGAAUAAGGACCAAAGCAUUUAUCCUUGCAUGCCUAACACUCUCAGAUAUUGUUAGGUUCUCAGUGAAUAUCCCUUGGAUGACUGGAUGCUCCCUCAUUCCCCAGCUACUAGCUAGGAUCUGUAUCAGCCUGGAAAACCUCUUCUGGAAUCAUGCCACUUACUCUUGUCCUCACCCCCGCACCAGACUAUUAAGAAUCGUGCCAGAUGAGAGAAGAUCUGGCCUCACCAUUUCCUCAGGGAUACUAUGGUAAACCAGGCCCUUUGGGAAUGGAAGUAACCCUGAGAGACUCCCCUUUGGCUUGUCUCUGUGAUGUGGAUUAAUUUAUUUCUGAAUGACUCCCCUCUUUUCAUGAGCCCAUUGUUGAGCGCCCCGCAGUCCUUGAAGUAACAGACACAUAAAUUAUAAGAUAAACUCUUCCCACCAAAAGCCAGAGAUGUCCCCAUCUUUGUCCUCGCUUUCACAUUGUACCUUCCUGGAAUGCCCUCCACGGACUUCUCUGCUGACCCAGUCAAAUUUGGUUUCAAGUUCUAUCCCCUGUGUGAAGUUUCUCUAACCAACUAAGCCCUUGUUAGUCUCUCUCCUUUGCAUUCUUCUUAGUAUCUGGACCCCCACAUUGGCCCUUAUCUUUCCCUUGUGUUGCCAGUUUCUUUCUACAUACCUACACUGCCUUCUCCAUUGGAUUAUAAGGUUCUCGAGGGUGGGUGUUUUAACUUAGGGUGCCUAAGUUCAGAACAUGUGGAGACCUUGGUGACACAGACCACUGGGUGCUGGGGGAUGGGAAUGUCAGAACCAGGCCAGAGAUAGACUGGGAGAAAUUGACCGUCUACAGAGUUUGGGCUCUCAGGGGCAUCGAGGCUGGCCAGUGCUCUGUGUCUCAGACAUAUGGAGAGGUCAGAGAGGUUCAUGUCAGAGGUGGUUUCACGUUGAAACGAAGGAGUCUGAUCUGCUAUGUGGCGUGGGGCAAUGUGGGGGGAAUCUGGGCAGCAGGAUUGUAGUGUGGUUCCAGUUUUAAACAAUGCUGUCCUCACAGGAAGGUGGUCAGGCUGUGGGAGAAGGGAAGGCCCUGUUCAGUUCUAGGUAGAGGAGGAAGAAAGGCUCCCAGAGGAGUAGGAAAUGGGAUUGGGCAGAUUGAGGCAGAAGCCCAAAUAACAGCAUGGAGUUGAGGAAAGGUGGGAGAAGGGAGACGAAGGGAGAGAAGAGGAGGAGGGAAGACAGGAUAGGGAAAUGAGGGGAAGGUAGAGAGAGGCUAGUGGGGGGAGGGAAGAGUUGAAGAGGAGAGAAGAAGAGAGAGAUGGAAGUGAAGGAGAGGAGAGAAGGUAGGAGAGAAAAGAGGUUAGAAAGGAGAAAGCAAAGAGAGGAAAAGAAAAUCUGAAGGCUCACCCUUGCAACCAGCUCCCUGAACAAAUUCCAGCCCAGUAGGCACGGGAAGGGCGUGGGUGGAGUUUCCGUAUAUCCCUCUAAAGCCCUUGUCAGCUUUCACCUCCCAGGUACGUUCUUGACAUGGACAACUGCCAUUUUUCUCACCCUUUGUAGAGUGUGAAUAAAAGCAUUUUAAGAAAAUUUGGCUAUAUUUAAUCUGCAUCACAUAUACAUUAUACACACAUUUUAUACAGUGUGUAUACGUUAUAUAUGUUAUACUUGCAUUCUUCAUUAGACAUGAAUGAGUGUGAUUGCUAUGCAACACAGCUUCAAAACUAAUCUCCUAACCAGCCGACUGCCCCACCUGCUUCUACCUUACCUGCUUUGCUACCGUGAAGCCUCAAUUCCUGUGUGGAAUUCUGGGGCUUCCACAGUUCCAGCCGCAGCCAGCUUGUAGAUUUGAUGCUGCUGACACAUUUCCUGGCCUCUUUAGAACUGGCUCAUCACUGGACAGGGUCAAGAUGGCAGGUGGUCGUGAUGCAGUUUUAACAUCCAAGUAAGAACAGCAUCAAGAGCCGCUCAUUCCCAGCACUCUAAUCUAUUAGAUACAAAAAAGAUUAAUACGGAUAAAAUAAUACUGCACUGCGAGGCUCCCGUAAGGAUUGAGCCCAGCAGGUAGAACAGUACCUCACAUAAAGUCCUCUGUAAUAUUAUCUUUUAUUACUGUACUUUCAUUUUUAUUUGUUUAGUGCUCACACUUUAACAUGCAAUGCCUUACUGGAGCUUCAUGAACACUGUAAGGUAGACAAGAGCAGGUGUUUUCACCUCGCUGUACUGAGGAGUUUUACCUAAGGCUCUGUAUGCAAAGGCACACAGAGAAGCCCAGCCCAGAGCCCUUCAGCCGCCUACUUCAGCGCUGGUUGUGCUCCUGUGAGCUAUAAACAAUAAGAUCCACAGAAGAAAAAGGGUUAUUUCUAUGCUAUUUCUAAUGGCCGCAAAAUAAUAUAUGGCAUAUCCUGACAACUCUUCGGUAAAUGAUUUCACAGCUGUAUAUUGUUUGACAUACUUUAAAAAUUUUUAGUUUCAGCCAGGGUUUAUUUCUGUGCUCUUUCUCCAUUAUCUUUCAAAAUUGGGAAAGUGAUACUCAAAAUUUUAAGGCUAAAGGGCCACUGGGAAUAAGGGUUCACAAUAAAACUGGCUUUAGAACUGCUCUGAGUUUUAUGAGUACAUGUAAAACCGACAUUGGUGGGGACAGUUUAUGGUUUAGAGUCACCCUUUGUUGAAGUGAAAAGACAGGCAGUAAAUCCAUGGCAGGAACCAGGACAGCCAAUUUCUGACUUGCUCUGUGACUCUUGACAAGUCAUUCAAUAUUUAUAACUUUUUAUCUUCCGAAACAAACUAGGGCCAACACCAAGACAGGAAUGGCAUGGGGCUUUGCGAUUACCAGCCAUCAAAACGUAUGUUGAAACAAUCUAUGUAGGAGCAAUUUUCCAUACACAUAUCAGAAUGUGGGAUAGAUUUAAGCACUCACAGCUCAGAUCCCCUCAGGGGAUACCAUCAAAGGCACUGAUGUUAGUGUUGUACACAAAUUAUUAUUCACCGGCUGCUUGUGGGCUUGGUGAUUUUCCUGGGGGACGUACUAGGAGGAUUGCUACCACCUCUGGCGGAUGGGUAUUAAUUCUCCUCCUGUGGCCUCCAAUGGAUUCCUGAGGAAAAUUUGAAGAAAUUACUUUGGAUUCAACUCAGACACAGCGUUUUCCUCCAAAAGGCCUACACCUGAGCACUGGCUAUGCCUCAUUCAUCUUCUGGAAGCCCUGAGGAGGCCUUUACUAAGGUGUUUCUGGCAUCUUUUGAAUGUGCGAGACUUGCGGGAAUAAAGAAACGUAAGUGUAAAGAGAUUGUGUUUCUCUCAUUUCCGUGUUCUUCUUCGUCAACUUGGCCAUAGUGCUUACUACCCUUAUGUGAGGAUUUAAUAUAAUUCCGCUGAGACAGACUAGUCUCUGGCCCUUUCACAAUUUGAAAGAUCCUCAGAAUAAUCGUUUUGGGAUGAAAUUUGCUCUAAGACUGAUUCUUAUUUCAAAUUUAUGGUGCUCUCCCCUAUUAAUGCCCACUCCCGAGGUGAUCCCACCUAGCAGCGUGGCUUUUAAUACCACGCAUGUGCUGAUACUCCCAUGUUGACAUCUCUGCCCUGGACCUCUCCUCUGAACUCUGCAGUAUCUGUCGAGUCGCCUACUUCACACCUCCACUUGGUGUCUGAAAGCAUCUCAAGUCCAACAUGUCAAAACAGAAUUCCUGCUUUCCCCACCGAAGCUUCAACUCUGUGGAUGACAACUUCAUUCCUAAGUUACUCAGUCCAAAAACUUGGGCUUACUCUUUAUUCCUUCCUAUUUCACAAGUGAUAUUCAACUCUUCAGCAAUUCCAUCAGAUUUGUCAAAAUGUAUCCCUAUUCUGUCCACUUUUUGCCACCCCACCACUACCAGGCUGGUCCAAGCCCACCACACCUUUCAUCUGAAUUACUGUAAUAACAUUCUAGCUGGUCUCCAUGUCUGUUGUGGCCAUAGAGUUUCCUGUGUGAGCCUUUUAAAAGGUAAGAUUGAGCACCCCUCUGCCCAAGCCUUCUGGAACAUUCUCAUCACAUGGACAGGGAAAACAGAAGCCCUUAACAUGACCCACAAAUCUUACAGUAUCUACAAUCCCCUCUCCUCUCUGUCCUCAUUUCCUAACAGCCUUUCCUGACUCUGUUCCAGGUACGGCCACUUACUCUUCCUCCAACAUUCCAGGCACUCUAGUCUCAGGGCCUCUUCACUUUCUAUUCCUUUUUCCCGGAUGUUCUUUCACCAGAUCCUCUUAAAGUGGCCUCUAUAUUUGUCUGUUAACUUCCAGAUUCUGAUACCUGUGUCCUCCCCUGAUUACUACCUUUGGACUGUGAGUGGUAACAAAGAACUUGGAAUAAUGUCCUAUCACUUGUAGUUCUCCCUAUGUCUCAUCUCGGUGAAUUGUCCCUUUGUAAUAAGCCUUCUUCGAAUUAUCCUAAAUUGAAUAUACCAUCUCUUUCCUGCUGUGACCUUGAGUAAUACAAGAAUUUCUAUUGUACUUGGUACUUAUUGGUACUGGAAUUGAGUGUAGGAAAUAGACCUUCCAAAUGGGAUUCUGGCAUUGAGUUUCCCGUAAAUUCAUGGAGCACAGGGAUAAUCAUCUUGCCAUGGGAAGGUGGGACAUGGACACUCCACGGCAUGGAGGAGCAUUACUAUUACCCAAAUCAUCAUUGAUGGUGGCACAGAAUGGUAUGCAGAUAGGGGGCAUAGCAGUGGAAGAUCACUAUGGCAACAAUAGAGAUUAUAAAGAUUGUAGGAUGAGCUGGCUUCUUCUUUCCUUCAAGAACUUUCUUAAGGAAAAAAGAAACUAAGAGAUACAAACUUCUAUUACACGUGUGGAGAACAAGAAGUCCUCUAUGGAAGCUUUGAAGAUGGUCCCCAUCUCCUACUGUUGCAGGAUGUAUUUGGCUAAGGCAGAAGCCCAGGACUGGGUUGUAAGAGAUGUGGGAUCCCAGAGUCAAUGAAAUGCUCAAGCCUGUCAGGUUUCUCAUGUUAGGAAACUGAUAGAACAGGAGCUGUACCUUGCGACAGGGGACUGAGAUAUUUGCAUAGUUAUAGACAGGACAUAGAACAUUGACCUUCCAAAUUCUCUUGCCUGGGGAAGCAGUCUCUCUUUCACUCCCUUCUCCCAGAUAGUCCUCUUCUGCAUAAAAGCUUUUCAAUGGUUCAACCUAAGUCAGUUGCCUCGUAACGGGGUGCUGAUUUUCCUCAGCACUCAAUCUCACCAACUCUCAAUCCUUCUACACCUAAAAUGAGAGUUAUUUUCUAACAUAGCACAGUUUAAGAGGUUCAAGACCUGUCUCCAUGAGGAAGAAGCACAUAGAAAAGGAGAGAAGAAUUGAACAAUGUGUAUCAGCAGAUGCCUGUGGGGGAUUGUGGGAAUGAAUUCUAAAGCGUUUAGAGCAAAGGAGAGAAAUAUAAUGACGAAUCAGGUCAAAGUCAUUGGCAUGGGUCCACUCACCUGGCAGUCUAGAUUUAACAUGUUAUCUCCAGUACCUGGGAAUGGCACUAAUAGUCUACUAGGUUUGCUAAUUGAAUCCUAGGCUCAUAUAUGGAACUUGCCUGGCAUAUUGCAGAGGAAAGAGUCUGAAGGCUUAGGAAAAUGGAAAUAUCAGAAUAAAUCUAUUAUAAGCAAAACUUGCUUCGCCACCUCCUAGUCAUACCCUUUGGGAGGACCCAAAGGACCCACCAUUCACCAAAACAUUAAGAAAUGCAUUGGUGUGAGGGACAGCAGCAUGCUUGAAAAGUUCUAUGAUGGCUUCUUCCAGGUCGGAGAUAGUGGAGAGGAUGAUGCAGUGUAAUUAGGUUCACUGCUCUCAACGUGAAUAGUGGGAAUCUCAGAUUUGCAGAAGACACUUAGUAGCAAUGAACUGUCAGAGAAGAGGUGGGUGCUGUUACUAUACAUCAGCCAGAGGAUUAGAAGGGCAGUCAUAGAAUUUCGAUCUGAGGGAUCUGUGACAAUGCUUAAUUGAUCAUGGACAAUUGACUAGUAACAAAAAGAUGGCAGCUGACUAAUGGGCUGUUUGACAUACAUAAGCAGGAAAAUUUUUGGUUCACAGUGAAGAAACCUAACUUGAGUCUUUGAAGUAGAUUUCAGGCCUUUUAUCCAACUUCUAAAUCUGAAUUCAUUCAAAUGGCUGAAGCCUCUUAACUGAGGGGUAGUCCAGGUCCUUUUGAGGAGAGACGUUGUAAUAUGGACCUAUCAAUCCUGUAAAUCUUUCCCCAGGACUUCUCUGGGAGACCUGAAGCUAUUUAUUGUUGUGGCUGUGCACUGAGCAAGAGGGAAAUGCCCAGACUUUCUGGGGAUUAUUAGACGUUGUCUACGAACUGAAGCGAAUCCCUCCAGAUGCAAAAUAGCUCCGUGUCUUAAUGAGCAGGGGCUUUUGGAAGCCAGGUAACUGAUGAAAUUUUGGCUCAAAUCUGAUAGUAGUUCUAGGAAAACUAAGGAUAAGUACUGCAAUUAAUUUCUUUUGCAGAAAAUUUAAGGGAAUUAAUAUAUUCAGAAAGAGACAAAAUUCUUAUACUGACACCCUGACCUAUGAAGUGGGGGAUGUUAUGGUAGAAAAGUUCAAGAACAAACUCCCGCAACUGCUUCCAACCCCUCUCCACCCUCCUGCCAAUCAGGGGAUGGACCAAAAGCAAUGCCUCCUUCCUGGGGAUACUGUGGAGAUUAGUGUCACUACCAAAAUUUUGAGAAAUGAAAUGGUGGUUAAGAUUACUAUAUAUUAUUUAACAUGCCCAUUUGGCUGGUGCAAAAGUCAGAUGUAUCAUGGAAGAUGAUAGUAGACUUAAUCAUAUGGUGAUUAAAUUUGCAGCUGCGCUAUCAUUCCAUUUUAGCUGGUGAGGAAAAUCAGAAGAAGUUUACAUUUACAUGGCAGGGACUACAGAGUACUGUUAUUAUUUCGCCCAAGGGCUAUGUCAACUCCCCUCUAUGUUAUAAUAUAAUCUAGAUGGACCUUGAUAAUCUUGUUAUUUCAUGGAAUAUCUCAUUCAUCUACAGCAUAAUGAUGACAUUAUGUUAACUGGGUCUGGUAAAUAGGAAGUAUCAAGCACUCUAGAUAUUUUAAUAAGACAUAUGCAUUCCAGAGGGUAGAAAAAAAAUAGUAAAAUUUCAGAGUCUGAAACAUGAGUGGUCCAGUGGGCAUAAUAUGAUCUCCUUUUUGAAGUGAGGGACAAGAUGCUACAUUUUACACAGCACUCACCACUUAGUAAAAGGUAUACACAUAGGGCCUGUUAGGAUUUUUCAGGCAAUGCAUAUAUUUGGAUAUGACCCUCUCACCCAUUUAUCAAUAAUUCACAAGGUUACAAGUUUUGACGGGGACCUGUAGGAAGAACGGACUCUGUAGCAGGUCUAGGUUGCAAUGCAGGUUGCUCUGCUAUCUGGGCCUCAUAAUAGAGGACACUAUAAAUAAAUGAAGCAUUUAUGGCAGACAGAGAUGCUCUUUGAGCCUGUGGAAAAUUCACUAGGAAAAUCAACAGCACAGAUACCCAGGGCUAUGGAAUAAGGCCACGUCCUUCUUUACUGACAACUAUCUUCCAUUUGAAGAGCACCUCCUGGCUUGCUACCAGGCUCUGGUAGACACUAAAUACUUGACCAUUGGAUGCACCAUAACUAUGCAAUUUGGACUUCCCUUGUAUGUGAAGUGUUAUUUAAUGCACAAAAUUUAAAGCUGGACAUAAAAAAAUAAUAUUAUACUAUAAAAUCUAAGUCAUAUAUUCAUCAACUCCAGGAGCAGGUGGCUCACACUCAUAUUGUACCUUCUUCUACUGCUUUGCUAUUUUUUCCUCAUCCACACCUAUGACCUCAUGGAGAGCUCAGAGCAACUAGUUAAUUGUGGAGGCAAAAGCAUGGUCCUAAUUUAUGUAUCAAUUUCCAUGAUUUGCUGGUACCUGCUAAAGAAGGACAGAUACUGUAUGGCAAUCAUACUCAGUGGUGACCUUGAAAGACAGGUGACAAUAUGAUGGAACUGACACCACUCCAUGAUAAUACAAAAGCUGAUGGGACUUCGUAUGUCUCCUGAGAUGAGAGCAUGUAUUUUUCAACUGAAUGAAGGACAAGAAUGAGUGGUGAGGGGCAAAGCAUGUGCUGGAUAUCUUUCAUUUGAAACUACAGAUCAUCUUUCACCCUCUAACUUUCCACCUCUGCCCCAGGAGGUUAACUUGUGUCGGCUACAUCGCAGUCUUCUAUGACUUUCAGCUGAGUAUGGCCAGUUGGGAUCCCAGACAGAAGAUCAGAACUAGAGGGAGCUCAGUGUGUUUAUUCCUAUGGCUCUUUCCUGUGAGUUCAUUUCAAAUUAGCUGUGUCCCUUGACUCAACAUCACUGUUUAUUUCAGGUGACUUUUUCUACUUGAAUCUCCCUUUUUAUGUCCUUUUCAGCCUAUGAGUGAUUACAGCAUGGUUCUAACCAACACUGAGUUAAUGCAUAACCCUUUUGGUUCCAAUCCACCCUAGCUACACCUUUGUAAUUAGAACCUUAAUUUAAAAAAUCCUCUAAAAUUUUCCAGUUUGAGAGUGCCAUCUGUUUCCUAUUGGGAAACACACCUCACGCAGUCAUCUCCUCUCAACUAUAUACUGUUUAUUAUUUAGAGCUAAAGCAUUUGCAAGUGACAAAAAUAUUCCAACUAACCUUUCUUAAGUUAAAAGAGCAUAGAGAUUUAUGAGCUUGCAUCACUGGGAAGUCCAAGGGAUAAUUCCGUCUUCAGGCACAGGUGAGUCCAGGAGCUCACAUGGUUACAGCAGGGCUCUCCCCUUCUCUCGGCUCCACCUUAUGUUACCUUCCUUUUUGGGCAAGUGCCAUUCCACAAAGUAACGAAUAUGGACACUAGCAGUUCUGGCUUACAGUGGCUUUACAGAUUGCAAUCCCAGAAAAAAAGAGCAUGAGAGAUACUGCAGGUGUCUUAACAUAUGCUGUGAUGUGAUUCCAAUGGUGAACUGCGGGGGUGGCUGAGGUUGCUUCGCUGGCUGUCACAUUGGCAUCAUGUAGAAUAAAUUAACAAACCCACUGCAGUUUGGCCAAGGAUUGGCUGUGACUAGAAAAGAAAAUUGUCUGGUUCACAGGAGUACCAUCUCCCAGAACUCAGCUGGAGCUCAUUUUCUUUGAAGUACAGACUUGAAAACAAGGAAGAAUGCUGAUAAUGAAGGGAGUAGGGCAAACCAAAGCUAGCUUCUCUUUUAAUUGGAAUGCUCCUCUUGCUAAAAUACAGUGUCACUUGUUUGUCUCAAAACAAAAGCUGACUUAGCAAAUCCAUUUGGAAUGGCCUCUCAGCCUCAAUCUGAUUGCCAAAUUCAAUAAUACUGUGCACAGGGAUUCCCUAGGGUAAACAGUGAAGUAGAUCUGCUCAAAGCAUUUCAAAAGGUAAGAAGGCCCUUUGCCAACUUUGCAUUUCUUCUUUGGCAACCCAGGAUGCAAAUAUGACUUGCAGCAGUUUGUGUGAAACUUUGGGAUGAAGAGGAAUGCAAGCGAGCAAGCCUCUCUGGGAUGUAGGGAGUAUUCCACCCUAGAUAAUACAUAAUACCUAAUAUAGCUGGAUUGUAGCAGUGAGGGAACAGAGAGGUAAGUCGGGGGAGCGCCUGAAGGGAACAGCCCCCAUAAUGUAAUUAGUAGAGCAAUGAAAACCUUAGGGAUUUCUCAUAAAAGUACAACGUGAGCAUGGCAGGCAUGGAAAAUAGCUUUGGCCAUGGUGUUAGUAGACUGGCGGAAAGGAGGUUAUGGCUGUCUAGGAAAGGAGUGUCUGCGGUCUAGACAAGGGAAUUAACAGCUUUCUGGAGAGAAAGUAAGACAAAGAGGUAAAGAAAUUGCUCUAUGCUGAAGACAGAAUAAUAUGUGCUAAGAAAUUCUAGACAGAAUUCAUUUGCUUCUUAAAUUCUUGUUUGCACGCAUCAAGCUGGGAAUCAAAGUACUGUAGAAAUACACACUUCAUUUUCACAGAAUAUAUAACGUUUUGUGACUGGAGAUUUUGGCAUGCUUUACUCAAAAGGUGUUUGUUAAAGUCUUUAUUUAUUACUCUAUAUUUAGUACCUACUACGAAAGGUAGUGUAGUGUUAUGAAAAAAGGUGGAUUUGGGUGUCCGGCAAGAUGGGUUUUGAGUACCUACUCGGUCACUGACUAGCUUUAUGCUUUUGGCCAAAUAAGUGAACUUCAUGUAAAAUGCAGAACACAAUUCCUCCCUCAUGGGAUUGCUGUCAACACUAACUUAGAUCACGUGUACAAAGUGGCUGGCACAAUAGUCACUCAACAAAUGGUGGCUGAUGUUACUACCAAUUCCUUAAUUAGAAAGGAUCUGCUGAAACCUGAUGACAUCAGACUCCUGGUUAGUGGGCACAUAUAUUGAUAUUUACUCCCACAUCUGCUCACUUCGCUUUCAAUUGUUUGAACAAAUUGAGCACGUUAUAGUUCACCACUUUUUACUUUUUACCCUAGUUGGGAAAGGGUUUGUGGCUUUUCUGUGGUUUGGUUUAAUGCCUCAUGGGGGUCAAAAGGUGGGAUAUCCUUUGUUAGCCUGGCUCACAGACUGCUCCAGAGGGCUUAUAGAUUCCCUCUGCUGAGAUUUGGAAAUCUAGCUGUAGUUUGAAAUUUCUGGCCUCCACCAUGGGUUUGUUCCCAUACAUUUCAAUAGCUCGAUAUUUUCAUUGUGUAUUUAAAUAUCAGUGUAGCUUGGGCUCUGGACCUCCCCUCAUUUUGCCACCAGUUAAAGCUAUCGGUGCAGAACUUCUUGUUGUGUUAUCGUUAUUUUUAUCUUAGCAGAUGAAAGAGGUGCAUGUAAGUGGUACAUUUGCUCCUCUGUCUUAACGGCAUGAGUUAACUAGGAGGAUGGUGGUAGAGCACUCAGUUACACACGUGUGCCAGCAGGGGAAAUGUGUGGAUUAGAGGAAAGUGUCUCUUUUUUUACCUUUUAUGCACGCUAAUUUAAAAAUGGUCCCAGUACGUUAUGUUUUCCCCUUUGCUGUUGGAUGCCUCUGGAUUGUUCCUCAGUUUAAAAUUUGACUUAUUAAAAUAAUACUUAUCAAAUGAUAUUUCAAAAGUUGGAACCUAGAAUUGAAUGUAAGAAGAUGUUUUUCUUGAUAAUUUUUUAACCAGAGAAAGUAUAUGGUGGCUGGUGUUUGUGGACAUACCCAGUUUGGGAAUUUUCUGUUUGCUUUUUGCUAAUUCUAAUUCAGAGCCAAGUAUCCUAUUUUUAUUUUCUUCUCAUUUUCCUUGUACUUAGAACUCCUUUCUGAUUUUCCUAGUUAUGUAAAAGAGAAACCUUGAGAUGUGCCUGAAAACAACACCACCCAGGAACACUGUUGUGCAAAGCAGAAGUACCUCAUUAAAGUGACGUGUCUUUUGUUUGUUUGGUUAAGUCACUCAAAACAAUCAAGAAUGACCCUAUAAACCCGCCCCCAAAAUUUGGUUUUGAUUACUAAGUGUCUUUCUUUGUUUAAACUCUCCAUGACGUACACUUUCCAGUGGCAAUGAACAGAGGCGUGCUCAGGAUCCCAAAGUCACAGCAUGCGUGGCGAGCCUGGGUUGGAGAGGGCGUCGUCAGGGGAAGCAGAGCGGCUCUGAUGACCUGGUUGUUGGUCAGAUUCCAAGAGCUGGUGCCUGUAAAUGUUCCAUCACUGUGGCAUCUCAGAAAUUUUCUCUGUUUCUGUUGCUUCUACUUCUGCCAUUAAGGACCAGCUAAGCUGUGAAGCUCAAACUUUGUGAGUUUAAACCUAUAAAGAAAGACAGCCACAGAUAGACGGCGGGGGCAGAAACAGACAGGGAGAUGUGGUUUGAUGCCCUUUGUAACACCUCUUUUGCAUCAAAACACCUCGCUGAUUGCUGGUCACCUAUGGCCCCGAUGCCAUUCCUUGGUCAAUCAGCUGUGGGCAGAAGAGCGGGGUCAAAUUUAUAGCACAUAAGAUUACAUGCCUAUGGGGCCAUCUGGUACAAAUUAUGAUGUUUUAUGCCUUCGCGGAGGACAAGGUCAAGACAAGCGCUCAAAGCAAGAUAAAGUUCUCUACAUUCUAUGUCAUAACUCAGAAUACAGAACCUAGAAACUUCCAACAACUUAAAACACACCCUGCUUCAGACCCAUUAAGAUGACUACCAUCAAAAAAACAGAACAUAGCAAGUGUUGGCAAGAAUGUGGGGAAAUUGGAACCUGUGUACUGUGGGUGGGAAUGUAAAAUAGUGCAGCUGCUAUGGAAAACAGUAUGGUGGUUCCUCAAAAAAUUAAAAAUAGAACUACAUAUGAUCCACCAAUCUCAUUUCUGGGUAUCUAUCCAAAAGAAUUGAAAGUAGGAUCUCAAAGAGAUAUUUGUACACCCAUGUUCAUAACAGCAUUUUUCACAAAAGCCAAAAGGUGGAAGCAAUGCAAGUAUUCGUUGAUGGAUGAAUGAAUUAAAAAAAUGUGGUAUAUACAUACAACGGAAGAUUAUUCUGCCUUUGAAAGAAAGGAAAUUCUGACACAUGCUAUGACUUGGGUGAACCUUGAGGAUAGUAUGCUGAGUGAAAUAAGCCAGUCACAAAAGGACAAAUAUUGUAUGAUUCCACUUAUACAAGGUCCUUACAGUAGUUAAAUUCAGGGAAAGCAGAACAGUGGUUGCCAGGACCUGGGGAAGGGGAAGAGAAUGGGGAGUGAUUGUUUAACGGAUGCGGUGUUUCAGGUUUUCAAGAUGAAAAGAGCUCUGGAGAUGGCGGUCGUGAUUGCACAACAAUGUGAACGUAGUUAAUGCCACUAAACUGUACAUUUAAAAAUGGUGAAGAUGGUAAAUUUUAUGUAAAGAAAUGUUUACAUAGCAAAACACUUCCCACAUCCUCAUAACGCACCACAUCACACACACAGAUGAUAUCACAUCAUGGCAGAGUUAGCAAGGUGUAGUUGUAACAGUCUCCGUAACCAGGCUUCCUAGGCUUAAAUUCUGCCUUUAGCAUCUGACAGCUGUGUGGCCCUAGACAAUUUAACCUCUCUGGGCUUCAGUUUCCUCAUCUGUAAAACGGGGCUAGUAAUAUUACUAAACUCAUAAAGUUGGUGUGAGCAUUACAUGAGCUAAUACAGCAUUUAGAAUAAUGUCUGGGACAUAUUUAAGUGCUCAAGGAAUGGUGGCUGUUCUUACUAUUUGACUAUGCGUAAAAUGUGACACUUUAUUCUUAAUGAAUUGGGUACAUCAAAUAUUAGUGACUUUGGCAAGUGCAUCUUCUCUUACAAUCUGAGAUAAAGAAUUUCUAUAAUAUCCUAAAUGUGAAGGAACAAAAACUAUGCUUUCAGAACAUAAUGGGUUGGUUUCUUUAGGUCAGAGAUAUCCAUAUAUAAGCCCAUGUAUUGGAUUCUAUUAAGUUAGCACUAUCCUUUGCUUGUAGUUAUUUUCAUUUUCCUUAUUCAUGUAAUGAAAAUAUGUUUCUAUUGGAUAUUUUACUUUCUCAGCCUCAGCCAUUAGAUUCGUUGCUAACUUUCCUCUCCCAGGCAUUCUGGGUUUGUGUUUAUUGUAGAAUGAUUUUGUGAGUUUUGGAAACAUGGCUGGGCAUAUCUAAUACUGCAGACCAGCAUGGGCUAGACAUAGAAGGAUCAUAUUUGCAUAAUGGCCACAGUACAGAUAACUUAAAGCAUUUUCCUUUGCAUAACAAUGACAUUCAAAUUAUUAUGCUGCUCAGAACAUGGCAGUAAAUUAACCCAGUCAGGUAUCCUAGUUUAAUAUAACAUCCUGUGGUCCUUUUCUCCCUGAACAUGCCUAAUGGGGCUCCUGUUUAUCCGAUUUUUUCAUGUAGCACAUCUUAAAUGAUUAUGCAUAUGUGGGCUUGUUUGUGUACAUGAGAUUCCUGUUUAAAACAAAAGAAUGUGUUUUCCUGACUUGUUUUUACUCCUAUUGCAAUUAUUUUCUCCACCUGUGUUUUUAUUGACGCAAUUUAAUUUUCAAAAGCC
rnacentral:lncRNA from 1 species